rnacentral:rRNA from 1 species
GACGAACGCUGGCGGCGUGCUUAACACAUGCAAGUCGAACGGAAAGGCCCUGCUUUUGUGGGGUGCUCGAGUGGCGAACGGGUGAGUAACACGUGAGUAACCUGCCCUUGACUUUGGGAUAACUUCAGGAAACUGGGGCUAAUACCGGAUAGGAGCUCCUGCUGCAUGGUGGGGGUUGGAAAGUUUCGGCGGUUGGGGAUGGACUCGCGGCUUAUCAGCUUGUUGGUGGGGUAGUGGCUUACCAAGGCUUUGACGGGUAGCCGGCCUGAGAGGGUGACCGGCCACAUUGGGACUGAGAUACGGCCCAGACUCCUACGGGAGGCAGCAGUGGGGAAUAUGGCACAAUGGGCGGAAGCCUGAUGCAGCAACGCCGCGUGCGGGAUGACGGCCUUCGGGUUGGAAACCGCUUUCGCCUGUGACGAAGCGUGAGUGACGGUAAUGGGGAAAGAAGCACCGGCGAACUACGU